rnacentral:rRNA from 1 species
UGGCGGACGGGUGAGUAAUGUCUGGGAAACUGCCUGAUGGGGGGGGAUAACUACUGGAAACGGUAGCUAAUACCGCAUAACGUCGCAAGACCAAAGAGGGGGACCUUCGGGCCUCUUGCCAUCGGAUGUGCCCAGAUGGGAUUAGCUAGUAGGUGGGGUAACGGCUCACCUAGGCGACGAUCCCUAGCUGGUCUGAGAGGAUGACCAGCCACACUGGAACUGAGACACGGUCCAG